UACAGAGGGUGCAAGCGUUAAUCGGAAUGACUGGGCGUAAAGGGCGCGUAGGCGGUUAGACAAGUGCGUUGUUAAAGACUCGGGCUUAACCUGGGGAUGUCAAUGUAGACUGUUUAACUAGAGUGAGAGAGAGGUUAUGGGAAUUUCCGGAGGAGCGGUGAAAUGCGUAGAUUUCGGAAGGAACAUCAGUGGCGAAGGCG
rnacentral:rRNA from 1 species